rnacentral:rRNA from 1 species
GAUCCUGGCUCAGGACGAACGCUGGCGACGCGCCUAACACAUGCAAGUCGAACGAGAGAGAAGGAGCUUGCUUCUUCGAUCGAGUGGCGAACGGGUGAGUAACGCGUGAGGAACCUGCCUCAAAGAGGGGGACAACAGUUGGAAACGACUGCUAAUACCGCAUAAGCCCACGGGUCGGCAUCGAUCUGAGGGAAAAGGAGCGAUCCGCUUUGAGAUGGCCUCGCGUCCGAUUAG